rnacentral:rRNA from 1 species
GAUGAGCGCUAGCUACAGGCUUAACACAUGCAAGUCGAGGGGUAACGAGAGGGAAGCUUGCUUUCCUUGUCGACGACCGGCGCACGGGUGAGUAACGCGUAUCCAACCUGCCCCCAACUAGGGAAUAACCUUGCGAAAGUAAGACUAAUACCCUAUAAUUUCCUCAGAUGUCAUCUGACGAGGAAUAAAGAUUUAUCGGUUGUGGAUGGGGAUGCGUCUGAUUAGCUUGUUGGCGGGGUAACGGCCCACCAAGGCAACGAUCAGUAGGGGUUCUGAGAGGAAGGUCCCCCACAUUGGAACUGAGACACGGUCCAAACUCCUACGGGAGGCAGCAGUGAGGAAUAUUGGUCAAUGGGUGGAAGCCUGAACCAGCCAAGUAGCGUGCAGGAUGACGGCCCUAUGGGUUGUAAACUGCUUUUAUACAGGAAUAAAGUUAGCCACGUGUGGUUAUUUGUAGGUACUGUAUGAAUAAGGACCGGCUAAUUCCGUGCCAGCCGCCGCAGUAA